GGCGGGGUGCGGCAAGGGUCCGACCGCACGCGCCGUGCGGGCCGCCGGGCUCCGGCGAUGGCAUCUGCGAACUUAAACAAAGGGGCCGGCGCGCCGCGCUGCAGAAAGUUGCGGUGGCCGAGGUCCAAGGCGCGUGGCCACGGCCCCCACCCGGGGCCGCCCCCGCCGGAACAGAGCCGGGGGCCGGCGGGGACAGGGGAGAGGAAACUUCGAACCCACUGGGGACACCUCCGCGCCUAGGUACCGCGCGCCCCGCGGGUCUCCGGGUGGGGGCGGGGGCCGGGCGCACGCGGGGCUGGCUGGGUGGGGUGACUCGGCCGCGGUUUCCCGUGAUUUUCUCCUCUCCGGAUUCCUCCCGACCCCCGCUCCUCCCUCCCUUUCUCUCUCUCCCCCCGCCCCCCAGACCGAUCGCGAGCGCUCGGAGCCGCCGAGGGACGCCAGCCCUUAGGCCGGACACUAAGAGUUAAGAUGUGGCGGCGGGGGAGGGGCGGGGAGGGGAAAGUGGCGGGGAGGGGGGGCCGGGGACGACAGAUUUCAGGCUUCUACGACGCGCUGCCUAAAUUAAAAAGCAACCAAUCGGAACGGCCGGAAGGGGGGCCGCGCGUCCGGAGCCAGUCAUUCCGGGGCUGCCAAUCACGCAGCGGGUAGCCAAUCGGCAGGGGCCCUGGCGUUCGACUUCCUUGUAUUUGGGAAAGUGUGGUGGUGGGUGCGCGCUCGCGGCGGAGGGUAAACAUUCGACAGUCCCCGCUCGGAGAGGGAGGGACAGAGAGCGAACUGUCAGAUCGCGGCGAGCGAGCGCGGGCGCCCGAGAGCCGAGCGAGGGAGGGCGAGGGAAAGUGCGCGAGGGCGAGCGAAGAGAGAGCGCGAACCAGGGCGCAGAGCAGCUCCGCCGCACCUCCGCACCGGCCCGCGCCCCCGUCGGGGCUCCCGAGAGCGAGCGAGCGAGCGCGCAGCGUCCCCGGAGGGGUCGAGUGCAGGAGCCCCUCUAUGCACACACACACCUCCACCGCCGCCAAUGCACGCCUCCUCCUCCUGCAGACCACUGCUGGGAAAAAAAUAAAACACCAACCCCAAGCGCCAGCGACAAGGAAAGAUGUCGCAUCAGACUGUGACUGUAGCGAGAAGAAUGAGAAAGGACUCUUGUGUCCGAGGCAGCCUAGAGCUCCGGCAAUAGCAACUUCAGCGCAAUGCACCCUCGGAGGAAGUUUUCCUAGGACAGAACCAAACUUGGAAAGAGUGGACCCGAGGGGGGCAGCAGGCGCCGGGCUCCCCUCUCCGCGCCCAAGAGCGCCCAGCAUCGCCAAGCCUUCCGGGACCCAAAAAGUUUUGCCACGCCGAGGGGAAGCCUGAGAGAUGUGUUCCUGAGCGAGAGCCCGAGGAGGCUGCGGGCUCGGGCCGGCGGCUGGCCACGCGUGACUUGGCGAAGGAGAGAAGGCACCGCUUCUUUGUUGUCGCCUGCGGAGCCAUCACCUAGCAGGUGGACCAAGCCCCGCGCCCCCAGAGGCCCGGGAGCAGCAGCAGCCCCGCCUGGCCCGGCCCGGCCCGGCCC
ensembl:lincRNA